AGCAGCCGCGGUAAUUCCAGCUCCAAUAGCGUAUAUUAAAGUUGUUGCAGUUAAAAGCUCGUAGUUGAAUUUCGGGAUUGACGUGAUGGUCAUGCCUUAAGGGGUAUGAACUGUUACUGUUGAUUUCUCACCUUCUGGAGAAACUUGAUGUCCUUUAUUGGGUGUCUUGCGGAUCCAGGACCUUUACCUUGAAAAAAUUUAGAGUGUUUAAAGCAGGCAUUUUUGCUCGAAUACAUUAGCAUGGAAUAAUAGAAUAGGACGGCAUGGUUCUAUUUUGUUGGUUUCUAGGAUCACCGUAAUGAUUAAUAGGGAUAGUUGGGGGGCAUUAGUAUUCAAUUGUCAGAGGUGAAAUUCUUGGAUUAUUGAAGACUAACUACUGCGAAAGCAUUUGCCAAGGAUGUUUUCAUUAAUCAAGAACGAAAGUUAGGGGAUCGAAGACGAUCAGAUACCGUCGUAGUCUUAACCAUAAACUAUGCCGACUAGGAAUCAGACGAUGUUAAUUUUUUCAAUGACUCGUUUU
rnacentral:misc_RNA from 1 species